CACCACAACGGGUGGAGCCUGCGGUUUAAUUGGACUCAACGCCGGGCAGCUCACCGGAUAAGACAGCUGGAUGAUAGCCGGGCUGAAGACUCUGCUUGACUAGCUGAGAGGAGGUGCAUGGCCGUCGUCAGUUCGUACUGUGAAGCAUCCUGUUAAGUCAGGCAACGAGCGAGACCCACGCCAACAGUUGCCAGCAUGUCCUCCGGGAUGAUGGGGACACUGUUGGGACCGCCUCUGCUAAAGAGGAGGAAGGAAUGGGCAACGGUAGGUCAGCAUGCCCCGAAUUAUCCGGGCUACACGCGGGCUACAAUGGUCAGGACAAUGGGUAUCGACACCGAGAGGUGGAGGCAAUCUCCUAAACCUGUCCUUAGUUCGGAUUGUGGGCUGCAACUCGCCCACAUGAAGCUGGAAUCCGUAGUAAUCGCGUUUCAACAGAACGCGGUGAAUACCGUCCCUGCUCCUU
rnacentral:rRNA from 1 species